AGGAAAAGUGGGAGGGAGGUCGGCGAUGUCUCUCUCUGUCUCGACGCCAUAAACUCUUUGAAUACACACUAUUUACUCAUUUCACACCACAUUUGAUUUUUUUAUUUUUCGCUCAAUACACACCAUCAAUUUUUCAAUAUUCCCAAACUAUCCCCGUCUUCUCCCAUCACAACCCUAACUCCACCCUGUCGCCGCCAUCAACAGCGAGCCGCCAGUCGCCAUUCCUACUCAGCCCUUCAGGUCGCCAGCUCCUUUCGUCGCCUCCCUCUCGCCACCUGUCACAGCCCUCCUCAUGCACCUUCUCUUUUCCCUUCUUAUUCGAGUCUACACUUGUUCUCUACUUCCGACCGUCGUCAUCAGCCAUAGCCACCAAGAUCUGCUUUCCUAGUAAAAUUGCAGCCCCUCACCGCUGUGACGCACCUCCGCCACAACCCUCAUCCAUCGUGACCCCCAAAUCGCAUAAAGAGAGAGAUCCGCUGUUGCUCGAAAGAGAGAGAUCCGCCGCAAGAAAGAGGGACAGAUUAGGGUUUCACGGUGAAGAAGGAGGAGGAGGAGGAGGAGAAUGAUGUGGAAGACUGGAGGCGUGACGAGGCUUGAGGAUGAAAGAGGUGGAGUCACAAGAAGGAUGAAGAAGGGCGAGGGAGCGGUGUCGGCACAGAUUCGAAACCGGAGGCUUGUGGAUUGCAGUGGUGGUGUUUAGGGUGCAGUUCUUUGGAGAUGCUUGUAGAGUGGUUGAUUACCAUUUCAUCUAUGAUGGAAAAACUGGUAGAUUUCUUCGCCAGCGCUAUGUUCAGUUUGAGACUAGGGAAAUAGGAGUGCAGAUCAUGUCCAAUGAUGAAUACAGAAGUGUGGAGCAUAGAGUGUUGGCGAACCCCCAUGAGGAGCCGCGUGUUUCGAUUGCAGUUUUCUUCAACUCAAGCAGUAGAGAGAGAUUGUAUGGACCAUUGUCGGAGCUAGUGUCGCCAGAGAAACCAGCUCUUUAUCAACAAUUUACACUGUCAGAUUACAUGCAAAGGUUCUUCAGUAAAGAGCUGCAAGGCAAGACUUUGACAAAUUACUAUAGGCUUUGAAACACAAGAGAGCCUUAUAUGUAAGCAAUAAUGAUUGGCAAUGUUAUUUGUGAAAUUAUGAAUGUAAUAACUGGUUAAAUAAUUUACUCUUUACCAAAAUUUAUAUUCUUGUCGAACAAAUUUUUAUGGAAAAUUAAGCUAUACGA